GACGAACGCUGGCGGCGUGCUUAACACAUGCAAGUCGAACGGAAAGGCCCUGCUUUUGUUGGGUGCUCGAGUGGCGAACGGGUGAGUAACACGUGAGUAACCUGCCCUUGACUUUGGGAUAACUUCAGGAAACUGGGGCUAAUACCGGAUAGGAGCUCCUGCUGCAUGGUGGGGGUUGGAAAGUUUCGGCGGUUGGGGAUGGACUCGCGGCUUAUCAGCUUGUUGGUGGGGUAGUGGCUUACCAAGGCUUUGACGGGUAGCCGGCAUGAGAGGGUGACCGGCCACAUUGGGCCUGAGAUACGGCCCAGAAUCCUACGGGAGGCAGCAGUGGGGAAUAUUGCACAAUGGGCGGAAGCCUGAUGCAGCAACGCCGCGUGCGGGAUGACGGCCUUCGGGUUGUAAACCGCUUUCGCCUGUGACGAAGCGUGAGUGACGGUAAUGGGUAAAGAAGCACCGGCUAACUACGUG
rnacentral:rRNA from 1 species